rfam:Stegodyphus mimosarum contig49556, whole genome shotgun sequence.
UUAUAGGAUUUUUUAAAAUCUAUUAAUUGUGAAUUUCAGUUUGCGU